GUGAUGGUUCAAUCAAGACUAUUGAAAUCCUGGAACCAAAGCCGCCGCCGCCGCCACCAAAACCAAAACCAAAACCAUCACCACCACCGCCGGCACCGGCUCCGGAACCAAAACCCUCACCACCACCCCCGGCACCGGCUCCGGAACCAAAACCGUCACCACCACCCCCGGCACCAGCACCGGCUCCCCAACCAAAACCAUCACCAGCCCCACCACCGCCGCCGCCGGCACCGGCUCCGGAGCCCGUUCGGUGUUACCCACCAGUUAGGACAUGCUGCAGGGAAUGUUAUGAGGGGCGUGGUGGGGGACCGUGUUACUCACCUGUUAGGGCAUGUUGCAGGGAAUGUUCCGAGGGGCGUGGUGGGGGACCGUGUUACUCACCUGUUAGGGCAUGUUGCAGGGAAUGUUCCGAGGGGCGUGGUGGGGGACCGUGUUACUCACCUGUUAGGGCAUGUUGCAGGGAAUGUUCCGAGGGGCGUGGUGGGGGACCGUGUUACUCACCUGUUAGGGCAUGUUGCAGGGAAUGUUCCGAGGGGCGUGGUGGGGGACCGUGUUACUCACCUGUUAGGGCAUGUUGCAGGGAAUGUUCCGAGGGGCGUGGUGGGGGACCGUGUUACUCACCUGUUAGGGCAUGUUGCAGGGAAUGUUCCGAGGGGCGUGGUGGGGGACCGUGUUACUCACCUGUUAGGGCAUGUUGCACGGAAUGUUCUGAGGGGCGUGGUGGGGGACCGUGUUACCAGCUUGGCUACGGGCGAGAGAGGCAGUAUGAUUGGUGCUAUGGAAGGCCAGUGUAUGAGAGUUGGGGUGGUGGCUGCGAUAACAGAGUUUAUUACAGAGGUCGCUGUUCAGAUUACAU
rnacentral:lncRNA from 1 species